AUUGAACGCUGGCGGCAUGCCUUACACAUGCAAGUCGAACGGCAGCGGACCUUCGGGUGCCGGCGAGUGGCGAACGGGUGAGUAAUAUAUCGGAACGUACCUUUCAGUGGGGGAUAACGUAGCGAAAGUUACGCUAAUACCGCAUAUUCUGUGAGCAGGAAAGCAGGGGAUCGCAAGACCUUGCGCUGAUUGAGCGGCCGAUAUCGGAUUAGCUAGUUGGUGAGGUAAAGGCUCACCAAGGCGACGAUCUGUAGCGGGUCUGAGAGGAUGAUCCGCCACACUGGAACUGAGACACGGUCCAGACUCCUACGGGAGGCAGCAGUGGGGAAUUUUGGACGAUGGGCGCAAGCCUGAUCCAGCCAUGCCGCGUGAGUGAAGAAGGCCUCGGUUGUAAG
rnacentral:rRNA from 1 species